rnacentral:rRNA from 1 species
GACGAACGCUGGCGGCGUGCUUAACACAUGCAAGUCGAACGAAGUGGCGAACGGGUGAGUAACGCGUAAUAAACCUGCCCUUCAGAGGGGGACAACAGUUGGAAACGACUGCUAAUACCGCAAACUGAAGGAGGGGAUUGCGUCUGAAUAGGUAGUCGGAGGGGUAACGGCCCACCAAGGCGAUGAUCAGUAGCCUGGCUGAGAGGAUGAACGGCCACAUUGGGACUGAGACACGGCCCAGACUCCUACGGGAGGCAGCAGUGGGGAAUCAUCCGCAAUGGACGAAAGUCGUACGGAGCAACGCCGCGGGAGUGAUGACGGCCUUCGGGUUGUAAAGCUCUGUUAAUCGGGACGCGGUACCGGAAUAGAAAGCCACGGCUAACUACGUGCCAGCAGCCGCGGUAAUUC